UGGGUCCGAGUUGUAAUUUGUAGAGGAUGCUCCGGGCGCGGGGGCCGGCCGAAGUCCGUUGGAACACGGCGUCAGAGAGGGUGAGAAUCCCGUCCGCGGCCGGCGCCCAAACCCACACGUAGCUCCUUCGACGAGUCGAKUUGUUUGGGAAUGCAGCUCUAAAUGGGKGGUAAAUUCCAUCUAAGGCUAAAUACCGGCCAGAGACCGAUAGCGCACAAGUAGAGUGAUCGAAAGAUGAAAAGUACUUUGGAAAGAGAGUCAAACAGUACGUGAAAGUGUUGAAAGGGAAAGCGCUUGCGAUUAGACUUGCCCGCGGKCGAUCAGCCCCGGUUCUCGGGGGUGCACUCGCCCGCGGGCAGGCCAGCAACGGUUCGGGCGACCGGACAAAGGCCGUGGGAAUGUAGCUCCCCCCGGGGAGUCUUAUAGCCCGCGGCGGCAUGUGCCCAGCCCGGCCCGAGAGGUCCGCGCUCUGCAAG
rnacentral:rRNA from 1 species